CUCGUAGGCGGCCAACUAAGUCGGACGUGAAAUCCCUCGGCUUAACCGGGGAACUGCGUCUGAUACUGGAUGGCUUGAGUUUGGGAGAGGGAUGCGGAAUUCCAGGUGUAGCGGUGAAAUGCGUAGAUAUCUGGAGGAACACCGGUGGCGAAGGCGGCAUCCUGGACCAACACUGACGCUGAGGAGCGAAAGCCAGGGAGCAAACG
rnacentral:rRNA from 1 species